rnacentral:rRNA from 1 species
UACCAGCACCCCGAGUGGUCGGGACGAUUAUUGGGCCUAAAGCAUCCGUAGCCGGUUUUACAAGUCCUCCGUUAAAUCCAGCUGCUUAACAGAUGGGCUGCGGAGGAUACUAUAAGACUAGGAGGCAGGAGAGGCAAGCGGUACUCAGUGGGUAGGGGUAAAAUCCGUUGAUCCAUUGAAGACCACCAGUGGCGAAGGCGGCUUGCCAGAAUGCGCUCGACGGUGAGGGAUGAAAGCUGGGGGGAGCAACCGG